rnacentral:rRNA from 1 species
AGCGAACGCUGGCGGCAGGCUUAACACAUGCAAGUCGAGCGGACCUUUCGGGGUCAGCGGCGGACGGGUGAGUAACGCGUGGGAACGUGCCUUCCGGUUCGGAAUAACCCUGGGAAACUAGGGCUAAUACCGGAUACGCCCUUAUGGGGAAAGGUUUACUGCCGGAAGAUCGGCCCGCGUCUGAUUAGCUAGUUGGUGGGGUAACGGCCUACCAGGGCGACGAUCAGUAGCUGGUCUGAGAGGAUGAUCAGCCACACUGGGACUGAGACACGGCCCAGACUCCUACGGGAGGCAGCAGUGGGGAAUAUUGGACAAUGGGCGCAAGCCUGAUCCAGCCAUGCCGCGUGAGUGAUGAAGGCCUUAGGGUUGUAAAGCUCUUUUAUCCGGGACGAUAAUGACGGUACCGGAGGAAUAAGCCCCGGCUAACUUCGUG